rnacentral:rRNA from 1 species
GUUAAAAGCUCGUAGUUGGAUUUUGGUUAAGAGGGCGCGGUCGGCCGUUUGGUCUGUACUGCGUUGUCUUGACUUCCUGAUGAGGACAUGCUCUUGGUUAACGCUGAGACAUGGAGUCAUCGUGGUUACUUUGAAAAAAUUAGAGUGUUCAAAGCGGGCUUACGCUUGAAUAUAUUAGCAUGGAAUAACACUAUAGGACUCCUGUCCUAUCUCGUUGGUCUCGGGAUGGGAGUAAUGAUUAAGAGGAACAGUUGGGGGCAUUCGUAUUUCAUUGUCAGAGGUGAAAUUCUUGGAUUUAUGAAAGACGAACUUCUGCGAAAGCAUUUGCCAAGGAUGUUUUCAUUAAUCAAGAACGAAAGUUGGGGGCUCGAAGAUGAUUAGAUACCAUCCUAGUCUCAACCAUAAACGAUGCCGACUAGGGAUUGGUGGAUGUUAAUUGAUGACUUCACCAGCACCUUAUGAGAAAUCAAAGUUUUUGGGUUCCGGGGGGAGUAUGGUCGCAAGGCUG